rnacentral:rRNA from 1 species
GGUUUGAUCAUGGCUCAGAUUGAACGCUGGCGGGAUGCUUUACACAUGCAAGUCGAACGGCAGCACGGACUUCGGUCUGGUGGCGAGUGGCGAACGGGUGGAGAAUGUAUCGGAACGUGCCUAGUAGCGGGGGAUAACUACGCGAAAGCGUAGCUAAUACCGCAUGGGUACGCCCUUCGGGGGAAAGCGGGGGACCUUUCGGGCCUCUUGCACUAUUAGAGCGGCCGAUAUCGGAUUAGCUAGUUGGUGGGUAACGGUCACCGCGACGAUCCGUAGCUGGUUUGAGAGGACGACCAGCCACACUGGGACUGAGACACGGCCCAGACUCCUACGGGAGGCAGCAGGUGGGGAAUUUUGGACAAUGGGGGAAACCCUGAUCCAGCCAUCCCGCGUGUGCGAUGAAGGCCUUCGGGUUGUAAAGCACUUUUGGCAGGAAAGAAACGGCACGUGGGAUAAUACCCCGUGCAACUGACGGUACCUGCAGAAUAAGCACUGGCUAACUACGUGCCAGCAGCCGCGGUAAUACGUAGGGUGCAAGCGUUAAUCGGGAUUACUGGGCGUAAAGCGUGCGCAGGCGGUUCGGAAAGAAAGAUGUGAAAUCCCAGAGCUUAACUUUGGAACUGCAUUUUUAACUACCGAGCUAGAGUGUGUCAGAGGGAGGUGGAAUUCCGCGUGUAGCAGUGAAAUGCGUAGAUAUGCGGAGGAACACCGAUGGUAUGAAGGCGGUGCCUCCUGAUAACACUGACGCUCAUGCACGAAAGCGUGGGGAGUAAACAGGAUUAGAUAAUUCUGGUAGUCCACGCCCUAAAACGAUGUCAACUAGCUGUUGGGGCCUUCGGGCCUGGUAGCGCAGCUAACGCGUGAAGUUGACCGCCUGGGGAGUACGGUCGCAAGAUUAAAACUCAAAGGAAUUGACGGGGACCCGCACAAGCGGUGGAUGAUGUGGAUUAAUUCGAUGCAACGCGAAAAACCUUACCUACCCUUGACAUGUCUGGAAUCCCGAAGAGAUUUGGGAGUGCUCGCAAGAGAACCGGAACACAGGUGCUGGGCAUGGCUGUCGUCACCGUGUCGAGAUGCUGGGUUAAGUCCCGCAACGAGGCGCAACCCUUGUCAUUAGUUGCUACGAAAGGGCACUCUAAUGAGACUGCCGGUGACAAACCGAGGAAGGUGGGGAUGACGUGUCAAGUCCUCAUGGCCCUUAUGGGUAGGGCUUCACACGUCAUACAAUGGUCGGGGCAGAGGGUCGCCAACCCGCGAGGGGGAGCCAAUCCCAGAAACCCGAUCGUAGUCCGGAUCGCAGUCUGCAACUCGACUGCGUGAAGUCGUGAAUCGCCAGUAAUCGCGGAUCAGCAUGUCGCGGUGAAUACGUUCCGGGUCUUGUACAUAACUGCCCGUCACACCAUGGGAGUGGGUUUUACCAGAAGUAGUUAGCCUAACCGUAAGGAGGGCGAUUACCACGGUAGGAUUCAUGACUGGGGUGAAGUCGUAACAAGGUAA